rnacentral:rRNA from 1 species
AUUGAACGCUGGCGGCAGGCCUAACACAUGCAAGUCGAACGGUAGCACAGAGAGCUUGCUCUCGGGUGACGAGUGGCGGACGGGUGAGUAAUGUCUGGGAAACUGCCCGAUGGAGGGAGAUAACUACUGGAAACGGUAGCUAAUACCGCAUAACGUCGCAAGACCAAAGUGGGGGACCUUCGGGCCUCACACCAUCGGAUGUGCCCAGAUGGGAUUAGCUAGUAGGUGGGGUAAUGGCUCACCUAGGCGACGAUCCCUAGCCGGUCUGAGAGGAUGACCAGCCACACUGGAACUGAGACACGGUCCAGACUCCUACGGGAGGCAGCAGUGGGGAAUAUUGCACAAUGGGCGCAAGCCUGAUGCAGCCAUGCCGCGUGUAUGAAGAAGGCCUUCGGGUUGUAAAGUACUUUCAGCGGGGAGGAAGGCGGUGGAGUUAAUAACUUCACCGAUUGACGUUACCCGCAGAAGAAGCACCGGCUAACUCCGUGCCAGCCGCCGCGGUAA